rnacentral:tRNA from 1 species
ACUCAGAUAGUUUAAAUAAAAAAUGUUAGCUUGUGGCGCUUAAGUUGUAAGUAGUUACUUUGAGUG